rnacentral:rRNA from 1 species
AGGACGAACGCUGGCGGCGUGCUUAACACAUGCAAGUGGAGCGACGAACCGGGCUUCGGCCCGGGGCAAAGCCGCGAACGGGUGAGUAACACGUGGAUAACCUGCCCUCGGCACCGGAAUAGCCCGGGGAAACUCGGAUUAAAUGCCGGAUAGCCCCACAUCCCUGCGGGGAACGUGGGAAAAGGUAGCUUCGGCCUCUGGCCGGGGAUGGGUCCGCGGUGGAUUAGCUUGUUGGCGGGGUAACGGCCCACCAAGGCGACGAUCCAUAGCUGGUCUGAGAGGACGAUCAGCCACACUGGGACUGAGACACGGCCCAGACUCCUACGGGAGGCAGCAGUGGGGAAUCUUGCGCAAUGGGCGAAAGCCUGACGCAGCGACGCCGCGUGCGGGAAGAAGGCCUUCGGGUUGUAAACCGCUUUCAGGUAGGGACGAAGCCACUCGGGUUAAUAGCCCAGAGGGUGACGGUACCUCCAGAAGAAGCCCCGGCUAACUACGUGCCAGCAGCCGC